rnacentral:rRNA from 1 species
CAGCCGUAAACAAUGUGCGUUAGGUGUGUCGGUAACCACGUGUUACUGAUGCGCCGAAGAGAAAUCGUGAAACGCACCACCUGGGAAGUACGGUCGCAAGGCUGAAACUUAAAGGAAUUGGCGGGGGAGCACCACAACAGGUGGAGCCUGCGGUUUAAUUGGAUUCAACGCCGGACAUCUCACCGGAUAAGACAGCUGAAUGAUUGUCAAUCUGAAGGUUUUACAUGACUAGCUGAGAGGAGGUGCAUGGC